UUGGAGCUUUACUUGGUUUUGUUUGUUGAAAAUUGCGUUUUAAUUUUCAGAUAUUGUUCAUUAAUAUUGCAUCUAAUUCGUUUUCUCUUGUUCUGUUUUACAGAUUGGCCUAUUAUUGAAAGCAUAUUGAAGUUUCCUUGGGUAUUAUUGAGUGUCCCCGAAUGGAUCGUGUACAGUGAUAUGUUCUUACUGCACUUCGUUUACCCUUGUCUUCCCCACUUGGAAAAAUUUUCUGCAUUUUUAAGAUUAUCUUAUAAGCAUGAAGUUAAUUUUUAUUCUACCCUGUGGUGUCAUUUUUCUUGGACUAUGGACAUUGGCCUGCCGUUAACAUCUUCAUUUUGCAACAUUAUCCAAUUAAUCUUCGACGAAUGAUUGAGAGAGCACCUUGAAGUUGAUUUGCAUCCCAAAUUGUCUGCAGUGGCAUCAUUCUUCCUGGAUUUGCAUUACUGUUUGCACUUGUUGACUUUGGCACAUUGUAAUUAAUUAAGAUCGCCGGUGGAGAAGAUAAAGAAGACCCCGUAGUUAAAAUACUUGUCUAUUUUGCAUGUUUUUUGUAGUUUAUUUUAUUUGAAUUAAUUUUUGAUUGUAGAUGUUGUUAUUGUUUUUAGUUGUAGUCGUUAUUACUGUACUAACACGUUUAGUUUUUUUUGGUAGUCAUAGUCUAACAUGUCUCUUGCUUACCUCUUCGCUUAGCUUACUGCAUAUUCUUCCUAAUUUGCU
rnacentral:lncRNA from 1 species